rnacentral:rRNA from 1 species
UACGGAGGGUGCAAACGUUGCUCGGAAUCAUUGGGCGUAAAGCGCACGUAGGCGGUUCGUUAUGUCGGAUGUGAAAGCCCUUGGCUUAACCGAGGAAGUGCAUCCGAAACUGGCGAGCUAGAGUACGAAAGAGGAUCGCGGAAUUCCCGGUGUAGAGGUGAAAUUCGUAGAUAUCGGGAGGAACACCGGUGGCGAAGGCGGCGAUCUGGGUCGAUACUGACGCUGAGGUGCGAAAGCGUGGGGAGCAAACAGG